GACAGAGGGUGCAAGCGUUGUCCGGAAUUAUUGGGCGUAAAGAGCUCGUAGGCGGCUUGUCACGUCGGGUGUGAAAGCCCGGGGCUUAACCCCGGGUCUGCAUUCGAUACGGGCUAGCUAGAGUGUGGUAGGGGAGAUCGGAAUUCCUGGUGUAGCGGUGAAAUGCGCAGAUAUCAGGAGGAACACCGGUGGCGAAGGCGGAUCUCUGGGCCAUUACUGACGCUGAGGAGCGAAAGCGUGGGGAGCGAACAGG
rnacentral:rRNA from 1 species